UACAGCCACACCACGUUCAAUAACCUUAUCCUGUAUGAUCACCAAAGUUAAGCAACGUAGUGUCUGGUCAGUAACCAGAUGGGUGACCCCUUGGGAAAACCAGAUGUUGUAAG